rnacentral:lncRNA from 1 species
CGGUUUAGAUGUUUUAUUAUUAAUUUUAUAGUUGAAAAGGAUGGAUACUCUCUCUCCUCUCAAGAAGUAUAAGUCCACUAUUAUGCCAUCUUUUAUAUAUAUAUAUAUAUAGAAAGAGAUAUAUAUAUAUAUAGAGAGAGAGAGAGAGCUAUCAGCUUUUCUCCUCUUUUUCUUUUUUCGUUUUUGGUAAUCUGAUUGUCUUUUGU